AUCUCCAGGUAUGACAAAAAUAACACAAUUGACCCUAUAAGGAUAUACUCUGAAGACAGUGAUGUGCAAGUUCAAGGUUUGCCUGUUCAGAUACUUUAAUAAUAAAGAAUGGGUGAAAAAUUUCUCACAUCAGCAUGCUGCAUAUUCCC